AGCCCCUUUGCAGAGACUGAGUCAUCUCUCAACCUGAGGCUCAUUCAUGGAGUGUGUCAGGCGAGGGCGAUCACUGCUGAAUCAAUGUAUCUAACUCCUUGAAUGUCCACAUUUACAAAGAAGACGUUCCUGCUAAGAUUGCUAUCAGCUUUUUUUGAUUGUGUCUCAUCAGAACAAAUUCACAUAAGAUUAAAAGUCAUAUGAUAGCCGUUCCUCUCUGGAGCGGCUGGCGAAGCCAAUCGGAGUCGAUCCGUGUCUAAGUGCCAUUUCUGCACUGAAAAUGGACUGCAGCUUACCAAAUAUAUUGGAUCUCUGCUUUACAGAUUCCACCAUUCCCUGCUGUGCAUUUGUUUGUUUCAGAGAGAACAAUUUAUUUCUGAGAAAAUUGCUUAUAUUACUGGUAUGAAAUCCAAUCUGAGAGCAGCCUACGUUUCCACCGCUCAUCAUUCUCGUUAUGUAGUCAUGGAUUGGUAGAAUAAUAUACAAUGUUAGGGUCUCUUUGUAAUCUUUGUCAUA